rnacentral:rRNA from 1 species
UACGAAGGGGGCGAGCGUUGUUCGGAUUUACUGGGCGUAAAGGGCGCGUAGGCGGCGCGGUAAGUCGGGUGUGAAAUCUCGGAGCUUAACUCCGAAACUGCAUUCGAUACUGCCGUGCUUGAGGACUGGAGAGGAGACUGGAAUUUACGGUGUAGCGGUGAAAUGCGUAGAUAUCGUAAGGAAGACCAGUGGCGAAGGCGGGUCUCUGGACAGUUCCUGACGCUGAUGCACGAAGGCCAGGGGAGCAAACGGG